rfam:Myotis brandtii contig203418, whole genome shotgun sequence.
GUCAGGUCUCAGGUGACGCACCCUGGAAUUGGGCUCUCUCCUCUCUGGUUCUGGGUGUGUCAUGCUAGAACUGCA